rnacentral:rRNA from 1 species
AACGGAAUCCAUGGUGUAGCAAUACACCGGAAGAUUUAGUGGCGAACGGGUGAGGAUCACGUGAGAAACGUGCCCCAGACUCUGGGAUAACAAUUGGAAACGAUUGCUAAUACCGGAUGACGUCGGAGAAUCGCAUGAUUCACUGACGAAAGAUAUUUCGGUUUGGGAGCGUCUCGCGGCCUAUCAGCUUGUUGGUGGGGUAAUGGCCUACCAAGGCAACGACGGGUAGCUGGUCUGAGAGGAUGAUCAGCCACACUGGGACUGAGACACGGCCCAGACUCCUACGGGAGGCAGCAGUGGGGAAUCUUGCGCAAUGGGCGAAAGCCUGACGCAGCAACGCCGCGUGCGGGAUGAAGGCCUUCGGGCUGUAAACCGCUUUCAGCAGGAACGAAAAUGACGGUACCUGCAGAAGAAGGAGCGGCCAACUACGUGCCAGCAGCCGCGGUGACACGUAGGCUCCAAGCGUUGUCCGGAUUUAUUGGGCGUAAAGAGCUCGUACGCGGCUGAGUAAGUCGGGUGUGAAAACUCUGGGCUUAACCCGGAG